UAACUCAGUUGGUUAGAGUAUUGUCCUGAUACGACAAAGUUACAGGUUUGAUCCCGU
rnacentral:tRNA from 1 species